UCCGUUGUAGUCUAGUUGGUUAGGAUACUCGGCUCUCACCCGAGACCCGGGUUCAAUUCCCGGCAACGGAA
rnacentral:tRNA from 1 species